rnacentral:lncRNA from 10 species
CUCAUUUCAACACACCUGUCCACGCUGCAACGAUACAUAUCCAAUGACGUCUCCGGAACACAUGGAGGUUCCUGGGGGGCCACACACCCAGGGAAGGCAUGGAAGCUCCGCCCCCCUUCCCACAUCCCUCGCCCUGCGCAUCUUCAUGGUGUUGAAUAGUAUUCACCCAAAAUUCUUGUCUACCCAGAACCUCAGCAUGUGACUUGAUUUGGAAACAGGGUCAUUGCAGAUGUAAUUCAUUAAAGGAAGGUGAGAUCACACUGGAGGAUGGUGGGCCCGAAUUCGAUAUGACUGAUAUCCUUAUAAGAAGAGAGAAAUUUGGUCACAGAGGCACUCACGGAAGGCAGACAUUGUGAAGACACAUAGGGAGAAGGCUGUGUAACAAAAAAGGCAGAGAUUAGAACGAUGGCCAGGGAAGGCCAGGAAUUGCCAGCCACCACCAAAAACCAGGAAGAGGCAAGGAAGAUUCAUCCCUAGAGCCGUCAAAGGGAACAUGGCUCUGCCAAUACUUCAAUAUCAGACUUCUGAAAUCAAGACUUCUGACCCCCAGUACUGUGGCAGAGUGCAUUUCUGUUGUUUUAAGCUUUCUAAUUGUGGAGCUCUUCCCAGGCAGCCCUGGGAGGCUAAUAUGACCACUUAACCAAGUAGCCUAAAUGUUUUUCCAUAAGUUUCUGUAUUAUUAUGAAAUAAUUUUAAGUCACUAAACAAUAUUAUGUUUUAUGGAUGUACUGCCAAUUAUUUAAAGAACUAUUAUUAAACACUAAGUUGCACCACUUUCGCUAUUAGAAGCAUUUUACUUGGACACCUAUGUGUACUUUCAUGUAUUAUAUAGUAGAAUAUAAUUUGUAUAUAUAAUUUUAUAUCCUUUUUAAUUUAACACUACAUUAUAAACAUUGUUACAUAUCCAUUAAAAACCAUUCAUGAAC